rnacentral:sRNA from 1 species
GUGCGAACCUUCCCGGCAACUUUUUCGAGAAAAAUGCCCAAAUUCAAGGCGACCCGUGGGGUCGGGGGUCAGGAAAAACAUGCGCCUCUGGCCGAUCAGAUCCUGGCUGGGAAUGCCGUGCGGGCGGGGGUCCGGGAGAAGCGGCGGGGUCGCGGGACCGGAGAAGCGGAGGAAGAGUAUGUGGGGCCCCGGCUGAGCCGACGGAUUUUGCAGCAAGCACGGCAGCAACAGGAGGAGCUCGAGGCCGAGCAUGGGACUGGGGACAAGCCCGCGGCGCCGCGGGAACGCACCACGCGGCUGGGUCCAAGAAUGCCUCAAGAUGGAUCAGAUGAUGAGGACGAGGAGUGGCCCACCCUGGAGAAGGCUGCCACAAUGACAGCGGUGGGCCACCAUGCAGAGGUGGUUGUGGACCCUGAGGAUGAGCGUGCCAUAGAGAUGUUCAUGAACAAGAACCCUCCUGCCAGGUAGGCCUGGGGAUUUGGGAUAAUGGGUCCUUGUAGAAAGUUCCCACAGGAAAACAAGUUCCCUGGCAGACUUAUGAUUCCCUACCUUUGGAAAGGGCCCUGGAGUUG